UGCCUUACACAUGCAAGUCGAACGGUAACAGGUCUUCGGAUGCUGACGAGUGGCGAACGGGUGAGUAAUACAUCGGAACGUGCCCGAGAGUGGGGGAUAACGAAGCGAAAGCUUUGCUAAUACCGCAUACGAUCUCAGGAUGAAAGCAGGGGACCGCAAGGCCUUGCGCUCACGGAGCGGCCGAUGGCAGAUUAGGUAGUUGGUGGGAUAAAAGCUUACCAAGCCGACGAUCUGUAGCUGGUCUGAGAGGACGACCAGCCACACUGGGACUGAGACACGGCCCAGACUCCUACGGGAGGCAGCAGUGGGGAAUUUUGGACAAUGGGCGCAAGCCUUAUCCAGCCAUGCCGCGUGCAGGAUGAAGGCCUUCGGGUUGUAAACUGC
rnacentral:rRNA from 1 species